UACGGAGGAUGCAAGCGUUAUCCGGAUUUAUUGGGUUUAAAGGGUGCGCAGGUUGUUUGAUAAGUCAGUGGUGAAAGUCUGUCGCUUAACGGUAGGAUUGCCAUUGAUACUGUUGGACUUGAAUAUGGAUGAGGUAGGCGGAAUGUGUAGUGUAGCGGUGAAAUGCAUAGAUAUUACACAGAACACAGAUUGCGAAGGCAGCUUACUAAUCCAUCAUUGACGCUGAGGCACGAAAGCGUGGGGAUCAAA
rnacentral:rRNA from 1 species